AGGAUAAACGCUGGCGGCGUGCCUAACACAUGCAAGUCGAACGUCUCUUUCUUCGGGAAGAGGAGUGGCGGACGGGUGAGGAACACGUGGGAACCUGCCCUUUAGUGAGGAAUACCGGCGAGAAAUCGCCGACAAGACCGCAUAGCCCUCUUUGAUGAGAGUCAAAGAAGGAAAGCUUCGCAAGAGGCGCUAGAGGAGGGGCCUGCGUCCGAUUAGCUAGUUGGUGGGGUAAGAGCCUACCAAGGCGUCGAUCGGUAGCUGGUCUGAGAGGACGAUCAGCCACACUGGGAUUGAGAACGGCCCAGACUCCUACGGGGGGCAGCAGUGAGGAAUUUUCGGCAAUGGGGGAAACCCUGACCGAGCAACGCCGCGUGCAGGAAGACGGCCUUCGGUUGUAAACUGCUUUCUUUGGGAAGAGAACGGACGGUACCAGAGGAAUCAGCCCCGGCUCACUACGUGCCAGCAGCCGC
rnacentral:rRNA from 1 species